rnacentral:rRNA from 1 species
CCUACGGGUGGCAGCAGUGGGGAAUAUUGCACAAUGGGGGAAACCCUGAUGCAGCAACGCCGCGUGAGUGAUGACGGCCCUCGGGUUGUAAAGCUCUGUCCUCAGGGGCGAUAAUGACGGUACCCGAGGAGGAAGCCACGGCCAAGUACUGGGCAGGAGCCGGGGGUAAACGUAGGGGGCGGGGGUUGUCCGGAUUUACUGGGCGUAAGGGGAGCGGUGGCGGAGGUUUAAGUGUGAUUGGAAAUACUCGGGGUCAACUUGAGUGUUGCAUUUAAAACUGGAAGUCGAGAGUGCAGGAGAGGAGGAUGGAAUUCCUAGUGUAGCGGUGAAAUGCGUAGAGAUUAGGAAGAACACCAGUGGCGAAGGCGAUUCUCUGGACUGUAACUGACGCUGAGGCUCGAAAGCGUGGGGAGCAAACAGGAUUAGAUACCCGAGUAGUC